UAGAGUUUGAUCCUGGCUCAGGACGAACGCUGGCGGCGUGCUUAACACAUGCAAGUCGAGCGGUAAGGCCCUUUCGGGGGUACACGAGCGGCGAACGGGUGAGUAACACGUGGGUGAUCUGCCCUGCACUCUGGGAUAAGCCUGGGAAACUGGGUCUAAUACCGGAUAUGAGCUCCUGCCGCAUGGUGGGGGUUGGAAAGGUUUACUGGUGCAGGAUGGGCCCGCGGCCUAUCAGCUUGUUGAUGGGGUAAUGGCCUACCAAGGCGACGACGGGUAGCCGGCCUGAGAGGGCGACCGGCCACACUGGGACUGAGACACGGCCCAGACUCCUACGGGAGGCAGCAGUGGGGAAUAUUGCACAAUGGGCGAAAGCCUGAUGCAGCGACGCCGCGUGAGGGAUGACGGCCUUCGGGUUGUAAACCUCUUUCAGCANGGACGAAGCGAAAGUGACGGUACCUGCAGAAGAAGCACCGGCCAACUACGUGCCAGCAGCCGCGGUAAUACGUAGGGUGCGAGCGUUGUCCGGAAUUACUGGGCGUAAAGAGCUCGUAGGCGGUUUGUCGCGUCGUCUGUGAAAACCCGCAGCUCAACUGCGGGCUUGCAGGCGAUACAGGCAGACUUGAGUACUGCAGGGGAGACUGGAAUUCCUGGUGUAGCGGUGGAAUGCGCAAAUAUCAGGAGGAACCCCGGGGGCGAAGGCGGGCCUCUGGGCAGUAACUGACGCUGAGGAGCAAAACGUGGGUAGCGAACAGGAUAAAUACCCUGGUAAUCACGCCGUAAAGUUGGGCAUAGGGGGGGGUCCUAUGAACGGGUCCGUGGCCCACUAAAGCAUUAGGGCCCCCCUU
rnacentral:rRNA from 1 species